rnacentral:rRNA from 1 species
UGAGGAAUAUUGGUCAAUGGACGAGAGUCUGAACCAGCCAAGUAGCGUGAAGGAUGACUGCCCUAUGGGUUGUAAACUUCUUUUAUACGGGAAUAAAGUUCAGCACGUGUGCUGUUUUGUAUGUACCGUAUGAAUAAGGAUCGGCUAACUCCGUGCCAGCAGCCGCGGUAAUACGGAGGAUCCGAGCGUUAUCCGGAUUUAUUGGGUUUAAAGGGAGCGUAGAUGGGUUGUUAAGUCAGUUGUGAAAGUUCGCGGCUCAACCGUAAAAUUGCAAUUGAUACUGGCGUCCUUGAGUACAGUUGAGGUGGGCGGAAUUCGUGGUGUAGCGGUGAAAUGCUUAGAUAUCACGAAGAACUCCGAUUGCGAAGGCAGCCUGCUGGACUGUAACUGACGCUGAUGCUCGAAAGUGUGGGGUAUCAAACAGGAUUAGAUACC